rnacentral:rRNA from 1 species
CCUACGGGUGGCAGCAGUGGGGAAUCUUGCGCAAUGGCCGAAAGGCUGACGCAGCGACGCCGCGUGCGGGAGGAAGCUCUUCGGGGUGUAAACCGCUGUCAGGAGGGACGAAGGUCCCAGGCAGGUAAUGGCCUGGGGAUGACGGUACCUCCAGAGGAAGCACCGGCUAACUCCGUGCCAGCAGCCGCGGUAAUACGGAGGGUGCAAGCGUUAAUCGGAAUUACUGGGCGUAAAGCGCGCGUAGGCGGCCAUUUAAGCUAGAUGUGAAAUCCCCGGGCUUAACCUGGGAAUUGCAUUUAGAACUGGGUGGCUAGAGUAUGGAAGAGGAGUGUGGAAUUUCCGGUGUAGCGGUGAAAUGCGUAGAGAUCGGAAGGAACAUCAGUGGCGAAGGCGACACUCUGGUCCAAUACUGACGCUGAGGUGCGAAAGCGUGGGGAUCA